GAUGAACGCUGGCGGCGUGCCUAAUACAUGCAAGUCGAGCGAACGGACGUGAUACUUGCUUCACUGAUGUUAGCGGCGGACGGGUGAGUAACACGUGGAUAACCUACCUAUAAGACUGGGAUAACUUCGGGAAACCGGAGCUAAUACCGGAUAAUAUUUUGAACCGCAUGGUUCAAAAGUGAAAGACGGUCUUGCUGUCACUUAUAGAUGGAUCCCCGCUGCAUUAGCUAGUUGGUAAGGUAACGGCUUACCAAGGCAACGAUGCAUAGCCGACCUGAGAGGGUGAUCGGCCACACUGGAACUGAGACACGGUCCAGACUCCUACGGGAGGCAGCAGUAGGGAAUCUUCCGCAAUGGGCGAAAGCCUGACGGAGCAACGCCGCGUGAGUGAUGAAGGUCUUCGGAUCGUAAAACUCUGUUAUUAGGGAAGAACAUAUGUGUAAGUAACUGUGCACAUCUUGACGGUACCUAAUCAGAAAGCCACGGCUAACUACGUG
rnacentral:rRNA from 1 species